CAGUUUGUCAUCUAGAAUUGCACACUUGGAGAGGAUUCACCAGAAAGUUCUCAGGAAGCUUAUGGGCCUGCUUUUGAGAAAUUACAGAGAAAGGCAGAAGGAGCCUUGACGGCAGCACAAAGUACUUAACAAACCCACUUGUAGAAGGUGUUCUUGCUUUGGUGAGAGAGGACAGAGAAAUAACACACAAGACUGUUUUAAUUAUUUUGUUUUUGUUUUUGAUGACUCAGGGGAUUAAAUAAAGUGAAAUUACCCAAACUUUACUUUUUUCCUUGUUGUUUUUGUAGUCUGACUGAUCAGGAACUUUCAUGUAGACCAGGUUGGUCUUGAACAGGAACA
rnacentral:lncRNA from 1 species